rnacentral:rRNA from 1 species
UACAGAGGUCCCGAGCGUUGUUCGGAUUCACUGGGCGUAAAGGGUGCGUAGGUGGUGAGGUAAGUCGGAUGUGAAAUCUCCGAGCUCAACUCGGAAAUGGCAUUGGAAACUACCUUGCUUGAGGGUUGGAGGGGGGACUGGAAUACUUGGUGUAGCAGUGAAAUGCGUAGAUAUCGUAAGGAAGACCAGUGGCGAAGGCGAGUCUCUGGACAGUUACUGACACUGAGGCACGAAGGUCAGGGGAGCAAACGGG